CCGUGACUCAUCCGGACCGCGCCCCUCCCCCUCUGCGCGACGGGGGGCACGUGAGCGCGCGUCGCGCUGCUUUCUAAUUUUAGCUCCGGCCGCUCUGGCGGGGUCAGGCGAGGAAGCUACUGGAGGGGGUGCUCUCUCAAAAUGAGGGAACGAAUCAGGAGGAAGGCGUGAGAUGCUGGAACCAGGGACUCGCACUAGUGUUCCAAAGGAGUAGAGGGUUCAGGAUCCAGACACAGGCUCUGCACAGGGAGAUACUGACUGCCUGAACCCGGCCAUUCAGACGCGCACAGUCCAGUGAGAAGACUGGCUGGCAAGCAGACCACGACAGCACAGAGAUGAAGGGCCUGCUGGGGUCUGUGCAGGGACUGUGGGGGCCCUGGGCAGGGGGCAGUCCUGUGCUUUGUAGGAUGAUAAGCAGCAUCCCAGGCCUCAACCCACUAGGUGCCAGUAGCACCCCACCCCCAAAUUAGGACAACCAAAAAUAGCUACAGAUAUUGCCAAAUGCCCCUUUUUACAAAUGUCACUCAACUUAUUUGACCAAUUUUAUUUUGGGGAGAAACACCUGUUAACCCUGCAAGUAACCUCCCUGUUCAUUCUGAAUACUCUGGGAAGCACUGUUUCUGGACAAAGCCCACAUUCCCUGCCACAGAGUCCAGGCCCUUGGGAUCUGGGUCCUGCCUGGCCCUCUGGCCGCGCCCCACCCCACAUUGGUCCCUACCUUUGGCUCCAGUAAAGCCCAGCAGUUUGUAGUCGCUUAUGCACACUCUGCAUUUCGUCUUGGGCCUUUGCCUGGGCUGCUCCCGCUGCCUGGACUGCCCUUCCCGCCUGUGCUCACCUGGCUCACAGAUCCAUUCUUCAGGAUCCCACUUGGGCUCCAUCUCCUGCAGGAAAGCUCCCCUGAAGCCCACACAGGGCUGGGCGGCCCACUGUGCUCCCGAGCGCUCAGAGCAGCUGCAGCCUCAGCGCUUCCUGCCUCUGAGACCUUAGACAGGACCUAUCGUCCCCUAGUCCUCUAGUCCAGGUAGUUCGGGGUUAUGGGCCCACUGCUUCCACUUGACCUACAAGGCAGAGAGACUCUUGUCCUUUCAUCCCGAGAACCUGGCAAAGUGUCUGGCACAGAGUGGGUGUUCAGUAAAGGUCAAAAUGAAUCGACAAGUAAGUAGAACAAAAAGGUGGAUGAGAUAAAGGGAGUGAGGGCAAGAGAACACAGGCAGAGAGGAAGGAGAGACCCAACGGGGAGGACUCUGCUUCACAGCACAGGAAGGGAUGAUUAAGUUGCUGGCCCCUCAUCCCUGUGUCUCCUUCAGGCUAAAUACUUCAAUUGCCUUAACCUUUCAUCUCACAUCCAUCUCAUUUUCCAACCCUCUAAUCAUCUUUGUCAUUCACACCCCUCCCUGCCUUCUCCACAGUUUCCAGAGGCUGCUUCUGUGCUUAAUGUGACCUGUGCAGAGCAGCAGGAACAUAAAACCUGUUUCCCCAGAGCAUCUUUCACUUAAUUAGCUGGAGACUUCACAGGUCCCCGAGCCUCACCAUCCCCUGACAGGGCUGUUAGCGGAGCCCUGACUCUGGGCCCUGGCAAAUUGUUUUCACAGAGAAGGGAAUAGAGAGAAUUAAAUCGGUGAAUAUGCUAAUUGUUUCCUUUUUUGUGUCAGGGAUUGCCCCACAGGAAAGCCAGCUUCUGAGGCUGGGAGGGUGGGCAAGAUGGAGGUGCAGGGUUUGGAGGCAGAAGCCCAGGGGCCCAGGCCUGGACAGGCUCAGUGCGCUGAGCUGCGGUGUGGAAAGUCUGCAUGUGAGACAUCGCAGGGAUGUGGCAUCUCGGCAGAGUUAGCACCUUCAACUGUGCUGCGGCGAGAUCGGGGUGCAGGUGCUACGCAAGUUCUAGGCUCUGGCAUCUACACGGUCCUGGGAGGAAGAUAUGCUCUCCACUUGACAGAUGGCAAAGCUACGGGGAAACAACCCAUUGAUGAAGGGACAGCCCCGAGGUCAACCACUAGGAGGGAAGGAAGAGAAGCAGAAAGGGGGUUGUUCCAAGCUCGUCUGCAACUCCCAGUGCAGACGGGUUCCGUUUCCGGGCGGUCCCUUCUCGUGGAGGACUCUCGGUAGCAGUGAUGGCAGAGGAGGCAGCGUGGGGCAGAAGCCCUUAGCAGCUCUGACAUCGUAACAAGGCCUGGUGUGUGGCCGGGCGGCCUCGGACCACCCGCCUGUCGCACCCUGGCUAGCCUGUUGGCCUCUCUAGUUCAGGUUUGAGCCUGUGCUUUCUGGAGGCCUUUACAUGUUCCCUGCAUCCGGCCUGCCGGGGCAGCGCCACCUCCGCUCCCACGUGGACCCUCACCAACAGCCCAGACAAUUCCUGCCACCCUGGCUUCUGUUUAUCAUUGCACUGGUGGGUUUUCGUCAGUCGUUCCAUCUGUCAGUCUGUCACUCAUCAAAUGUCUGUGGAGGGCCAGGCACUGUUCUGGGUGAUGAAGAAACGGGGGAGUGGGGUCAAGCUUCUGCCCUCAGGCAGAUUGCCCCCAUGCUCGUGGGGCGGGGUGGGGUAGGGACGAGUUUAGUGCAAGGGACACUAGGGACCCUGUGGGCUCCAGGGCCUGCUUUGCUUUUUACUGAAGUCCAGCUCCACUGCAGACACACAGGUAGCUUUGAGGUGGGCAGUCCUGAGGAGGCUGCUGCCUGGGCUGUUGCCACCUGGGCUGCCACCCCCGGGAUGCAAGUAGCAGGAGAUGCCUCUCGCUAACCACUGCCCCCUCCCCCCCACACACACACACUCACAGAAACUCAGCAGUGCUCAGGGAGAGACCCGGGAGGCUCCUGGGGGACACAGGGCCUGCCAGUUCAGCCUUUGCUGUGGGUAGAGGUCAUUUCGCCUGGAUAAGGUUUCCAAACCUGCUCUGGCCACACUUUAUGCCAUGCUGGCAUGAGGCAGCAGGUAGAGAGGUUAAUAACACAGUUGGACACCCAGGUACAGGCUGGGGCAAGUGACCUGGCCUCUCUGUGCUUGUUUUCCUCUGUGAAGCAGGGCCUGCACUAGGCCUGUUCACAGGUUGUGUGUGGAUUAACAGAGACGCCCCGCGUUAGCAUGGAGGGCAUGCAGUGAGGGCUCAGUAAAUAACAGCUUGGUUGCCUCACUGCACCCUCCAGAAGAAGUCCUCGUUCUCCCUUCUUGCUCACACCUCCUUGGCAACUGUCCAGAGUCCAGAGACUGAGCUGCCUGGAAGAAUGCAGUGACAAAAAUACUUGGCCACGUUCAGAACUUCCCUGCUGGCAGCUGGUCCUUGAUCGUGGGCUUCCCCUGGGAGCUGCGUGUUGGAGAAUGAAUGCAGAGUGAGACCUAGGUUCAAAUCCUGAUCUGUUGUGCUCCUGGUGGCGGCCUUGGGAAGUCACUCGAAUUUUCCCAGCCUCAGUUUCUACCCCUGUCAACUAGGGAUAAUAACGUCUCCCCCAAAUGCUAGUCGGGAGUAAGUGAUAUAAUGUGGAAGCGGCCACCUUUCUUAUUCGAAAGAAAGAAUGACAGGACACAGUGUCAGAGGGGAGGACAACAGUAAGCCAGGUGAGGUGGUGACGUGCUGAAGGGAAGCACGUGGCCCUUAACUGGAGCAGCAAUACUAACUGCCUCACUUGCUCCGUGCUGGCACUGUGCCGGUAGCCCUUUCCCUAACGUAGCUCACUGAAUCUUUGCAAAACCUUCAUGAGUUGACUAUUCUCCACCUUUCAUAGAUGAUGAAAGGAGAGGCUAGAGAGAUGAAGAAGCCUGCCUAAGGUGGUCCAGCUUGGACGUGGCGUAGCCGGAGUCAAACCUCAGCUGUCUGCCACAAAGGCUGCCUGUGGGAGGAUGGAGGCAGGGUCUGUCCCAGCUGGGCCUGGGGUUCUGAGUCACUACAUCCCUCAUCUGUUAAGUGGGUAUAACCAUUCCAGCUCCAAAAAAGGAAUGUGUGGCAUUGACUGGAUGUUCCUCGCCCCUCUCCAGCCCUCGGUGGGAAACAGUUUAUAAACAGAGGAUUACCUUUUGGCCCUGCUGCCUUGAGCCAGAUCUCUUGCAAUACCAAAUUCCUGGAAUGGUUCAGUGACAAGUGUGUUAUUAGGAGGAAAUUGAUGAUGCCUUAUUGAGAGUGAGUCACCCAAUCCCUGUGCUGAGAGGCACAGGGGAAAGGGGCUUUCUCCAGAGAGGCUUAACUCGGGAACCCUAGCCCCCAGCUGUCCUGGACCUGGCUACCUGCCCAGGCCCCCGCCAGAGGUUCAGUACCAGUGACAAGGGUGGGUUAGGGCAAGGGGGAAGGGAGGCAGCCUCCAGCUGGGGGAAGAUGGUCCCCUGUGGUGGAUUUGUGGAGACCUCACACUGGCAUGACAGGCUCCAGAAUUCUCUUUCUGCUUGCCACCGAAUUACCCAGGAUGCUUUUGAGUAGAGCUCCAGGUCACUCCCUAGCUGCUCUCCAAGAGUUUUGGACAAGCCUCCCCAGGAAUGGCUCAGUCAACAAAUAGUUCACAGAGGUUGGGUGAACCUUCUUCUCUCUGCCUUUGAGUCACAAAAGAGGGAGAUGAUAAAGGAUUAACCUUGAAAGGGAAGAAGGUUUAGCUUAGCUGUUACAGCUCUGCUGGGUUUGUUUCUUUUCUUUAAAAAUGAUACACUAGUACAUUCAUGAGAAAAACUCCACCCUUAAAAGUUGGCUGUUUUGGUCACAAAUGUGACUGUAAUAGAAGAACCAGUCAAGGAAUAGCAGGUGAUUUUCUUAGAUGUCACUGCAAGUCACCAGAUAAGGCCAGCCUUUCCCUGUCUGCUGCUGGGUGCAGUGUGAGGGAUUUCUUUGAUGUACCCAGCCCGGAAGUUAGGAUGGAGCAUACACACAGAGGGCUCAGGACACCUGGACUGCCUGACAGACAGUGAAAAUGCCCACAGCAUGAACAAAGUGACAACCAGCUCACUUCACUGGGAGUCCGUUUUCUAGUCAUCCAAAUUUUGCAAGCAGCUAGGCCAGCCUGGAUGCAAAAGCAGGCGACUGGGCAGCAAAACGGGGACCCAUAGUGUCAUUCACUAUGAAGCUCGCCCACCUCCGCCACAGGACAGCCCACCUGGCUCUUCUUCAGGUCCCUCUGACCUACUUCAAUCAGAGUCCUAACAUGAUAGACAAUUUUAUUUCUCAACCCAAGCCACAUUAGAAGCACAUUGGUUGGAAGGGUGGGCGAGUCUCUAGACCCGAGAUGUUCAACAUUUAGGGGGUUAGUGACCUCUCUGAAGAUUUAACAAAAGCUGUGAUGUCUAGAUCACAGAAAAACGCAUAUACACUCAUGUGCUCCAUGCAUCAUCAAGCGGUUCUUAGGCCCCUGAGGCUGACUGACCCAUGGAAUCCAGGUUAAGGAUCACAGCUGGAGAGAUAGGCACGCCUGUGGGCUGGCUGCGUGAGCCCUAGAGAGCAGGCGCAGCGACUUUUAACCCUGCUGCCAGGUCCUCACUGUAUGGAGCAAACCCCUCCCCAACCCACCCGCACCUGACCAGGUGGUGUUCCCCAUCAGAAUGGCCCUGUCGGAAGUGAGCUAUGCUGGUGCCUCCACCUAAGAAAGCAGGAUAUACACAAACACUUUACUGAGCACGUGUGACGUACCAGGUACUCUUCUAGGUGCUUUAUCCAUUUUAAUUCAUUGGAUCCUCGCAACAGCCCCAUGAAGUAUUUAUGUAAAGAGCCUGGAUUUAAAUUAGACUCUUUCUCAAAUUCCAUCUCCAGUGAUUCAAGUAUUAGAGAUGUGAUAUUUUCCCAGAAAAAUCACUUAUUUUCACUGCUGAAUGCUGCUUUGUAUCAAACAUUGGGCUAAGUAUGGGUUUUACAUGUGUUAAUUCACAUAUUAUACACAAAACCAUAUCUUAUAGUAAGGAAACUGAGGCUCAGAGAGACUAAGUAACAUACCUAAGAUAAUAGGGCUAAGACAUGGUGGAACUGGGAUUUGAUGCCAAGUUCCUCCGAUACUAAAUGCUUUGAUAAGAGUUAUUGAGCUCUACUCCUCUCCUCGAUGUGGGGUUGUGCUGUAUAUACUUACGGCUACCUGGGACCAUGGGGAUUUGAUGAGCAAAACUCUCAAAAGAUCUUAAAUUAAGGUCCAGGACAGACUCUGGUGGUGUGCGGUAAUACAAGGAGCACGGGAAGACUUCCAGUUAAAGAAAGCGGAUGGAUCUGCAUUUAUGUCUUCUGUAGCAUAGAUUUUUUUUUUAUAAAGAAGGCUGCAACAGUUUCUCCUAUCCCUACAUACAUACCCCUUUACCGUGUGACUUUGCCACUCCUCCCAUCAAGAGAAAACAUCUUGAGCCUGGGCUGACUUGCUUUGACUGAUAGAAUUCAGUGGAAGUAAUGCUGCCUGACUCCUAAGGCAAGGCCUUAGGAGACCUUGCAGCUUCUGCCUUUAACCUUUUGGGACAUUGCUGAGUUCACCCCUUAAGGAAGCUGGUUAAGCUUCUUGGAAGAUGAGGGGCCAGUGGAGGAGAACUGAGGCACCCCAGCCAACAGCCAGCACCAACCACCAGACAUAUGUAUCUUCCAGCCCAGCCAACUGCUAAAUGGAUGUUGCAUGAGUGAGCCCAGGUGAAGCAACAGAACCACCCAA